rnacentral:rRNA from 1 species
AUCAAUAAGCGGAGGAAAAGAAAAUAACAAUGAUUUCCCUAGUAACGGCGAGUGAAGAGGAAAGAGCUCAAAGUUGGAACCUGUUUGGCUUAGCUAAACCGGAUUGUAAACUGUAGAAGUGUUUUCCAGACACGCCUGGUAAAAAAGUCCUUUGGAACAGGGCAUCAUAGAGGGUGAGAAUCCCGUCUUUGGCCAGAGCUGUUGUCUUUUGUGAUACAUUUUCAAAGAGUCAGGUUGUUUGGGAAUGCAGCCUAAAUUGGGUGGUAAAUCUCACCUAAAGCUAAAUAUUUGCGAGAGACCGAUAGCGAACAAGUACCGUGAGGGAAAGAUGAAAAGAACUUUGAAAAGAGAGUUAAACAGUAUGUGAAAUUGUUAAAAGGGAACCGUUUGGAGCCAGACUGGCUUGAUCGUAAUCAAUCUAAGCUUCGGCUUGGAUGCACUUGCGGUCUUUGCCUGCCAACGACAAUUUUUUUUGGAGGAAAAAACUAGGAGAAAUGUGGCCCCUCGGGGUGUUAUAGUCUUUUAGAAAAUACUCUGAAUUGGAUUGAGGAACGCAGUGAAUGCCUUUAGGCAAGAUUGCUGGGCGCUUUCGCUGAUAGGUGUUAGAAUUUCUGCCUUGGGUGGUGCUAAUAGUUAAAGGAGAAACUCGCUUAGUAUAUUUUUUAUUCGCUUAGGUUGUUGGCUUAAUGACUCUAAUGAC